rnacentral:rRNA from 1 species
GGACGACGCUGGCGGCGGUGCCUAAUACAUAGCAAGUAGAACGCUGAAGGAGGAGCUUGCUUCUCUGGAUGAGUUGCGAACGGGUGAGUAACGCGUAGGUAACCUGCCUGGUAGCGGGGGAGUAACUAUUGGAAACGAUAGCUAAUACCGCAUAACAGUAGAUGUUGCAUGACAUUUGCUUAAAAGGUGCAAUUGCAUCACUACCAGAUGGACCUGCGUUGUAUUAGCUAGUUGGUGGGGUAACGGCUCACCAAGGCGACGAUACAUAGCCGACCUGAGAGGGUGAUCGGCCACACUGGGGCUGAGACACGGCCCAGACUCCUACGGGAGGCAGCAGUAGGGAAUCUUCGGCAAUGGACGGAAGUCUGACCGAGCAACGCCGCGUGAGUGAAGAAGGUUUUCGGAUCGUAAAGCUCUGUUGUAAGAGAAGAACGAGUGUGAGAGUGGAAAGUUCACACUGUGACGGUAUCUUACCAGAAAGGGACGGCUAACUACGUG